rnacentral:rRNA from 1 species
GACGAACGCUGGCGGCGUGCUUAACACAUGCAAGUCGAGCGGUAAGGCCCUUUCGGGGGUACGACGAGCGGCGAACGGGUGAGUAACACGUGGGUGACCUGCCCUCAGCUCUGGGAUAAGCCUGGGAAACCGGGGUCUAAUACCGGAUAUGACUCCAUGACGCAUGUUGUGGGGUGGAAAGCCUUGUGCGGCUGAGGAUGGGCCCGCGGCCUAUCAGCUUGUUGGUGGGGUGAUGGCCUACCAAGGCGACGACGGGUAGCCGGCCUGAGAGGGCGACCGGCCACACUGGGACUGAGACACGGCCCAGACUCCUACGGGAGGGCAGCAGUGGGGAAUCUUGCGCAAUGGGCGAAAGCCUGACGCAGCGACGCCGCGUGAGGGAUGA